UGAGGAAUAUUGGUCAAUGGGCGGGAGCCUGAACCAGCCAAGCCGCGUGAGGGAAUAAGGCCCUACGGGUCGUAAACCUCUUUUGUCGGGGAACAAAACCGGAGACGAGUCUCCGGCUGCGUGUACCCGAAGAAAAAGCAUCGGCUAACUCCGUGCCAGCAGCCGCUGUAAUACAUGACU
rnacentral:rRNA from 1 species